GCCUUUCCAAGGUUCGCCUUGCCCAAUCGGGUCCCCAUCUCCCGUGGCUUGGGUGUGGGCGUGAACCCUAGCCCCCAGUCCACAGCCGCCACACCCGUCCUCCGGUCCUCCCCGCUCCCAAUCUCCUCUCCCACGCCGCCGCCUCCCCGCUCCCCGCUCGCCUCAGCCACCUCCUGUGCUCCCUCGCGCCACCGACUCCCUCCCUCCUCCCUCCCUCGUCACCGCAGCCGACCACCUGCCGUCACUUAGGCCCCCAUGGCGGCUGCCGGGUCGGGGUGGAGGCAAUAGGCCAUGGAGAAUCUGGUGGUGUCUGUGGGCGCAACAGGGGUAGAUGGAGCGUCGGAUGCGGGCGGGCUCCCACCCUUAGGCUCCACGACGGAUGCCAGUUCAGAGGGCGAAAGCAGAAAGCGGUGGCGUGUCCUGCGCUUGUGGGCGGAAGCAGCGAGGUUGGUCGAGCGGUGAUUGUGUCCGGGGUCAGUAGCUGAAGGAGGCUCGCUGACUGGAACAGUAGGAGGUGAUUCAGGAGCGCCUCGAGGAGUCGAAGGGAGAGGUCGUGCAGGCCAGACAAAGAAGAGCAAGGACGAUAAAUAUUCAAUCAGCCCUAUGUUUUCUUCUCGAUGCACCUCGGCAUGAGGAGUCGUGCUAGGCAUCCUGGGGUGAUUCAAGAUGCUCAGUGUACCACACUGCAUGCUACACAGGUCAAUUGUGCAGGUUGCUCUAAAAUACACUAAUUUAGACACGACCACUUGUCUGCAGCAAUUUCUUACUCUCAGUGCAAACGUACUUCUUUCUUUCUUUUUAUCAAAUGCACUCCUGCUUCACUCCAACUCCCAACUAUAGUUGCUGCAGACCAGCUCAUGGUGUGGGAAGCAUCUCAUAUUGUUCACUGAAUCUAUUGAUGAAUCUGAAGCAAUUCAAGAGGUGGAGCAAAAACUAUUUAUGCCUAUAGGUUGUCCGAACUACACCUUUAAUUCUAAUUACCUUGUUUGGUCUCCUUCUGUGUGAUAUCACUUUGUUCUGUAUAGUUGUCACUGGGACCUAUAUAUUACUUCUUGCAUGAAUCAUGGAUGUAUGAAGACAUGAAGUCAGAUAUAAUAUAAAACAAAACCUAUAUAUUACUUCUUGCAUGAAUCAUGGAUGUAUGGAGACAUGAUGUCAGAUAUAAUAUAAAAGAAAAUGCAUAUGAAUACUUUCAAGACCGAUCUUUGUGUUCAUUUACAAGAAGAUACAUUAUAAUAGUACUAAUGGACGCAUUUGUCCACUGAUAUGUUCAUUUAAUUUUGUAACCUAUGUUUUUCAUCUCAUGUACCAUUAGGAACAUUUGGUAGAUAAUUAUUUUAGUCAAGACGCAACAUGUUGUUUUGAUGUAUUUUGCUAUCGAUAUUCUGAAAUUGUUUUGUAUACUUUGUUUUGUUACAAAGCAAACAUGUGGGUUUAUGGUCACCUCAUUUCUAUAUGCAUACUUUAUAUAUGUGUUGAUGAUUUUGUGGUAGUCAAUUACUAAGUCUUCUCUUUAUAUUUUUCCACAAUAAGUGAAAUGAAAGGCCACAAACAACGCUUCUCCGGGAAGUGAAUUUUAUGGUGCCUUGCAUUCUGCUCAUUUGACGCAAUUGUUCAUCACAAAGAGGAGGGGAGAAGUCUACCCUUGGGAAAUGGGUGCCUCUCCAGUCAAGCGAGCGACGACAAAUCCAACUGGAAAGGGCUCUGUGGUGAUCUUCAUGUUAUCAGUAACUAUACAUGAGUUUCCUUGCUAACAGUUGUUAUCUUUCAAGGUUGCAAGUUUAGCCCUAUAUGAAAUACAACAUUCAAGCAAAUAAUUUGUGCUUUAUCUUUUGAAAUGCAUGUGCAGCAUGUUUUUUUUCUCUUUUAUCCAAGCUACUAUGCAAAAUUGUAUUGUUUUACGGCCAUUUGGUUCAUAGGAGUGAGCUUUGUAGGACUGGGAUAAUACAUGCAUGUGCAGUAUUAUAGAUACACAGUUAGCUGUCGAACAAUUCUUAUUUGUAGUUCUCUGAAAUAUUACUUCCUGACUUUAAAUUUACCUUCUUUCUUAUCCAAGUACAAGCAAAGGGAUUUAUAGCUGGUGAAGAGCAGCAAGGCAAGGCCAUUGCCCCGGCUGUUGAGCUUGAAAAGUUCGUAUGGAAUAUGCAAAAAAAUAUUUUUUUCCGUUAUGUUCUGUUGGAAUUUGUCACAUUUCUUUUGUGAAAGAAUGUGCCAUUGUCUAAUAUAUUUGUCAAACAAAAAAAUAGUUGCAUAUACUAGACUGGAUGGUUUGAGAAACUACGGGCACUAUCAAGAGUGUGUUAUAGGAAAUUUGUUUAAUUACAUAUAUCAUAUAUGUUCUGCUCUUAAGAGAUUAGUUUAGUUACAUGUAUAUUCUGCUUUGUGGUGUCACCCCUACAUCUAUUCAUGCAUAAUGAAUUUGGUGGUGUCAUUCUUUAUAUUGCAACAGGUUAAACAAUCUUGUGAUUGUAAUAUUUUUUUGGUGUUGCCAUAAAAUUAGAAACAUUUAUUGAAAUUGUUCGGUAAUGCAGUUUUAUGAUAUCGAGUGCCUUAGCCUUUGGUUGGAUAUAGAGUUUGAAAACAAUAUCUAGGUUGGAGCACACUAUGCUACAUCAAAAAGGACCUACAUAGCUAAUCAUGUAUGCUUGCUGAGAGGUGAACUUAGCAAAAUUGAGGAUGUCAGCUUUUACAUUUUGUCAUGCUUGGCUUAGAUAAGAUGUAUCCAUCCUUUUUUGUGUUUGUACCAAAGCUUCCUUGCUUUUAGAGGAUUUUGUGCAAGCUUUGCAUUUUCUUUGCCUGAGGCUACAAAUGCAUAUUUUCAUUUGUUCUGGUAGUUUUAUUACCUUCGGAACAGUCACAUGCAUGAGGCAGUGAGUUUGGACAAGGUGGAGCAGCGUCGACUGUCACACACACUAAUGGAGAUUGGGAUGUCUACCUUCCUAUUGACGAUCUUAUAAUUCAUCUGCUAACUGACAGGUAAGAUAUGUAUUUUGUUCAAAUGACCUUGACUAUUUUGCAACAUGUACUACAUUUUCAGGGAUAAUCCUUUUGCUUGUUUAUUUUUUCGCUAUGCUCUCUGAAGAUCAGAUUUUGGCCAUAUAAUUUCUGGUGUCUGGAAGUCUAAAACUGAAGAUAGGGCAGAUUGUUUUGUUUAUGAUUACUUGGAGAUCUCGUGGCUUGCUGUCCAUGGAUCAGUCAGACCUACGGCAACAUCAACUCAUUGAUUCUAGAGGCCAUGGUUCUCGAGGUGAACUCUGAAUCUCUGAUGCAAUUGCAGUGGAGGCUAGAGCCUGCCAAGUGAUGCAGAAGAUGGAACCAUAUAGUGCAACUGACUUUUCAGAUUAUUUAUUCCUCUUGUAAAACUUCUUUCUCAUCCAUGUAAUCCCUGCACAUCUCAAAUCCUCGUCCGCCUUAACCUUGAUUUCGGCACAUACGACUUCAGGAUAGUUGUCAUAUUUCUUUUAGAGGAUCUGCACCUCAAGGAAAUUAGAGAAUGCUGAUUUAAAAACAAAGUAUAUGUAAGCUAUUAGGAAGCCUGAGAGAUUCAUAAAAAUGGUAAGCAUUGUAAUGGAUGUUUUGCAAGAUAAACAUUAUUUGACUGUCUCCCCUUAAUUAGUGGGACUGGUGAGUAAUGUAGAAUCUUUAUUUUAGCA